CAGAAAUGUAGAUAGACGUAAGUGGCCUGAACUUAUCCAGAUGAUGGCUUCAGAAGGAGCUGCAGGACUCUUGACAUGUACAAAAGAGGAAAAGCUUUCUGGGAAAAAGGAAGUAUGGAAUGCUACUGUAUAUAGAGACAGAGAAAUGGGCUGAGCACAGGACUUCACUAUCCAUCAUGCCUUUAGCACACUGCAAUAAAACCAUGAUAAUACAACAA